UCUGGGCCCGCGGAUCAGACCUUCUCCCACCAGGGUUGUUACAACCAACACUGCCAUAUGCGGCGGCGCUCUGGCUCUCCACCCGGGGAUUUCGGCCUCACGUCGCACGCCUCGCCUGGAGUCUGGAUUCGUGGGCUAUACAAGCCAAUCGUGCGCACAUUUCUUCUUCCCCAACCACAGACGUGAACCAAAGCUGCGCUGCCAAGAACCGUCAGUCGUCGUGAGAGGGGGAAACCAGCUCAUUGUGGCAGAAUCUUGCGUCUGCGGGCCGAUAGCCAGCCGGGGAGCUCAAGCAGGGUCGCGCGGGUGCCCAGACGGUGUGGAGGUCGUCGGUGGGGGAAACCCGGAUCGUGCUUGGGUGGCAAUCGCUCGCCGGAGACAUCAUCCCGCGCCGUGGGAUCGCCCCUGGAGGAGACGAAAUUCCUACGCCAAUCCCUCUCGAUGAGUCAGUGGCCGAGAAUUCAGGUGUUCAGCAGGUAGAAGUUGCUGAGCAGGAGCUCAUUGAAGGGGUUAGAAUCAUCACUUAAAUCAAAGCAAGAAGUAGAAGCAUCUUUCUUAAAAAUUUCAGGAGAAGAAUAUGUGGUCCAAGAGGUGCCAUAUAAUGAGGAGUACGAGCUCAUCUAGGUGACGUCUCGCAGUCAGCUUGAUGGUGCCAAGGAAUAAUAUAUAGUUUGCUUUAUUGUUAUCAUUUGUUUUUGUAAGACUUCCGCUAUGUAAUAAUGAUACUUGUGCCAUUUAUCUCUAUACACUUUAUCAUUAUAUUUGAUGUUCUUCUUUGGCGCACAUAUGAGAUGCACCCGACUUUAUCCCUUAAAUCCGGGUGUGACGUACUUAAAGAAGGUAUAUCCUUCGACACUCUAUAAUAAAUCUAAGGUUACACUAUCGAGUGUAACAAAAAUGCCAAAGAAGCUCCAAAGUCGCUCGUAAGGGGAUGCAGAGCUCAAAAUACCACCUAGUAAAGGUGAAGAAGCUCUAAAGUCGUUUCUAAGGGGAUGCAGAGCUUAAAAUACCAUCUAGUAAAGAUGAAGAAGCUCUAAAGUUGUUCCUAAGGGGAUGCAGAGCUUAAAUAAAACACCUAGUAAAGGUGUAGAGGACUCCAAAGUCGUUCCCAAAGGAAUACAGAGUCUUGUUACAAUUUUUUUUCCUCUUUUCUUUAUCACUGUCUUGCACCAAGCAUCAUGCAUCAUAUGAUCAUACCAUUACGCAUCAUACCAUCAUGCAUCGUAUUAUCUUGCAUCAAGUAUGAAGUGAGAAGAAGGGGAAUUGCUCCCUUUAUUAACUCUAAGGUAGCGCAUUAAAGGACGAACGAGAUCAAAUGUUUUGGCUUCAUACAUGUUUUUUGUGAAAUUAUAUAACGGAGACAGAAGGGCAAAGAAGGGGACAAUGCUUCGUCUCUAGCGGCAACAUUCUCUAUGAUAAUACAAGACCUUCAGCUGAAGAAGUUUUUCUUUAUGAAGCGUGAAAAGAAGGGAAGGUGUUUUUUCGCCUUCGGCUCAAAAACG